rnacentral:rRNA from 1 species
UAAUGGGUGAUGGCGUGCCUUUUGUAGAAUGAACCGGCGAGUUACGAUUUGAUGCAAGGUUAAGCAGUAAAUGUGGAGCCGUAGCGAAAGCGAGUCUGAAUAGGGCGUUUAGUAUUUGGUCGUAGACCCGAAACCAGGUGAUCUACCCUUGGUCAGGUUGAAGUUCAGGUAACACUGAAUGGAGGACCGAACCGACUUACGUUGAAAAGUGAGCGGAUGAACUGAGGGUAGCGGAGAAAUUCCAAUCGAACCUGGAGAUAGCUGGUUCUCUCCGAAAUAGCUUUAGGGCUAGCCUCAAGUGAUGAUUAUUGGAGGUAGAGCACUGUUUGGACGAGGGGCCCCUCUCGGGUUACCGAAUUCAGACAAACUCCGAAUGCCAAUUAAUUUAACUUGGGAGUCAGAACAUGGGUGAUAAGGUCCGUGUUCGAAAGGGAAACAGCCCAGACCACCAGCUAAGGUCCCAAAAUAUAUGUUAAGUGGAAAAGGAUGUGGCGUUGCCCAGACAACUAGGAUGUUGGCUUAGAAGCAGCCAUCAUUUAAAGAGUGCGUAAUAGCUCACUAGUCGAGUGACACUGCGCCGAAAAUGUACCGGGGCUAAACAUAUUACCGAAGCUGUGGAUUGUCCUUUGGACAAUGGUAGGAGAGCGUUC